GUAAAGUGGAAGGUGUCGUUUGCAUUUUCUUCUUAUCAUCCAAUGUUAUAUUUUGAAUGUCUGCUGCUAAAAUUAAACGAUGAAAGUUAUACUGUUGACAAUUCAUGACCAUAUGUUCUAAAUCAGCUGUGUUAUCUGUUGUACAGUGUUUACAUUUACUCUCUGAUUCUGGUAUUAUCUUCAGUUUUGCUAGGUGUGCCGGGAUUCUACAAUGACCGAAUCUCAAUCGGUUUAUAGUGGCAAUAAAAUUUCUAUUAUUGACAUCCUUGUGUUUGUGAUACCAUGGUAAAAGCGGCGGGGUCUCUUAUAUUUUAGUGUACCAUUUUCCUUUUUCUCUGCUAAUAAGUGUCCAAUAACUGUGCCACAACUCUCUCAACUUUGUUUGUAAUGUUUCAUGGUAGUCUGUAUAAGGAACUUUUAAUACUUUGCUGUGAUCUUCAUCGAAUUCACCUCGGGUUGCUUUAUCCACCACUUCAUUACCAGAAAUACCACUGUGGGAAGGUAUCCACUUAAAUGUAACAGAUUUGCCACUAUUCUUUAACUCUAAUAUAAUUUUAGUAAUAUCAAAUAAAAUAUAAUUACAACAUUGCUUACUUGACAUAUUGUCCAGAGCUGUAAUACAGCUUAAGCUAUCAGAAACAAUUAAAAAGUUUCUACUAUUUACAUCCUUUAUGUACAAUAAAGCUUUAUAAAUUGCAUAGCACUCAGCCGUAAAUAUGCUGCAUGUGGGAUCAAUCUUAUAACAUUUUGUUUUAUUUAUAUGAGAGUCAUAAUAAGCUGAGGUGACAUUUCCUGCAACCUUUGAACCAUGUGUAUAUAAUUUGUAAAAAAGUUGUUGUCUAUUUACAAAGCUUAAGAAUUCUGACUGAUUUCAAACUAUUUCAGUGUCUAUUUCAAAAAGAUCAUUACUCAUACAUCUAAAAUCAAUAUUAUACAAAGGUUUCAUGUUACAUGAAUAUACAUUUAUACAUAAAGUUUUUAAAUUUAAUAUUAAGUUCAUUAUGUCUGGGAUAUGAUCAGAUAUCAAUUGAGUAGCAUUAAUGGAAAGAUUAGACAGCAACUCUGAGGAAAAUCCUCUUUGGGUAGAAUUCUAUCUAAAACAAAUUUAUUGUUAUUAGCUAAUAACUUAAGGCCAAACUUAUUGGCAAUUUGUAACAUUCUCAAUUUUAGAGGAAAAAUGCCAGAUUCUGCCUCCAUUGCAUUUAUUGGAGUGGAGCACAUAGCUCCUGUUAUAGUCCUGAGAGCCUUAUUCUGGAUAGAAUCUAACUUCCUGAGGUAUUCCAAUGGCUGUGAGAAUCUCAAUUAACACUAAAGGGUUAACAUUAACUCAUCAUUAUCAAAUGCUCCAUUAACAUCAAGAAAGGCGCAAAAUGUAUGGGAAUGGUUAUGAAAUGAGUUUUUGAUGUCUGAAAUUAAGGAUGUAAAGCGUUCUGUGGCACUUCUACCUUUACGAAAAUCAAACUGCUCUUUAGGUGGAGAGAUAGGUGCUAGCUUAUCUAAAAGAGAAGGUAUCCACUCAUCAUUUAUUGGAGUUUUUCUGUAUGGAUUAUGACUUAUGGUACCUGUGUUAAGAAUACAAAGAUUGGACUCAUCUAAUAAAUUGAAAAUAUAAUUUCCCCUGGAGUUUGAAGAAUUACAACCAAAGGCAACAUGAUGUCCAUUAAGAUCACCUGAUAACAUUAAGGGUUUGGGCAAGUUAUCUAUAAUUUGCUUUAAUUUCUUGCAUUUAAAACAACCCCUUCUUGGAGGACUAUAUGCACACAGCAUGGAUAUUUGGCCAAUGUUGAGUUUUAAAAUAAUUGCAACUGUUUGUAAAUGGUCAUAGUAUGGUGUUUGGAUACCUUUAUAUUUAUAUGAACUCUUUAUCAAAAUAGCUACACCUCCAUGACCAUUAGGUCCGUUUUGAAGUAUUAUAUUAUAGUCUGGUAUAUUAAAGCAACUGUUUUCUUUCAA